rnacentral:rRNA from 1 species
CGUAGGGACCAAGCGUUGUUCGGAUUUACUGGGCGUAAAGGGCGCGUAGGCGGCAUGACAAGUCACUUGUGAAAUCUCCGGGCUUAACUCGGAACUGCCGAGUGAAACUGUCAAGCUAGAGUGCAGAAGGGGCAAUCGGAAUUCUUGGUGUAGCGGUGAAAUGCGUAGAUAUCAAGAGGAACACCUGAGGUGAAGACGGGUUGCUGGGCUGACACUGACGCUGAGGCGCGAAAGCCAGGGGAGCAAACGGGAUUAGAUACCCCGGUAGUCCUGGCCCUAAACGAUGAAUACUUGGUGUCUGGAGUAAUAUGUGCUCCGGGUGCCGUCGCUAACGUUUUUAGUAUUCCGCCUGGGGAGUACGCUCGCAAGAGUG